CUGCGCACAAGGGGAGGGCUCCGCUACCCUGGCCCUCAGGGUCGUGUAGUUUCCGGGGCCACGGCACCUGGGCACACCAGGUGGCGUCGCGCCUUUGCUUUCCUGAGCCUUCUGAGUAAGGUAAUGUGGUGUCCGUGGGGCGACGCCUGCGCACAAGACCGCGUCGGGCCUCACUUUUCCCAGGCCUUCUGGGUAAUGUAGUUUCCGGGAUCGGCGCCCGGCCUGUGCCAGCUUGCAGAGCUCACCAGGUGCAGACCCCUGCGGCCAGGGCGAGGACGGAUCUGAGCAGCCGGGCAGCGGGUGCCGCCGCCUGCAGGACCCAGAGGGCUUGAGGACAUCUGCAAUGCUCCAGAAGCCCAAGAGCGUGAAGCUGCGGGCCCUGCGCAGCCCGAGGAAGUUCGGCGUGGCUGGCCGGAGCUGCCAGGAGGUGCUGCGCAAGGGCUGUCUCCGCUUCCAGCUCCCUGAGCGCGGUUCCCGGCUGUGCCUGUACGAGGAUGGCACGGAGCUGACGGAAGAUUACUUCCCCAGUGUUCCCGACAACGCCGAGCUGGUGCUGCUCACCUCGGGCCAGGCCUGGCAGGGCUAUGUGAGCGACAUCGGGCGCUUCCUCAGUGCGUUUCACGAGCCGCAGGUGGGGCUCAUCCAGGCCGCCCAGCAGCUGCUGUGUGAUGAGCAGGCCCCGCAGAGGCAGAGGCUGCUGGCUGACCUCCUGCACAACGUCAGCCAGAACAUCGCGGCCGAGACCCGGGCUGAGGACCCGCCGUGGUUUGAAGGCUUGGAGUCCCGAUUUCAGAGUAAGUCUGGCUAUCUGAGAUACAGCUGUGAGAGCCGGAUCCGGAGUUACCUGAGGGAGGUGAGCUCCUACCCCUCCACGGUGGGUGCGGAGGCUCAGGAGGAAUUCCUGCGGGUCCUCGGCUCCAUGUGCCAGAAGCUCCGGUCCGUGCAGUACAAUGGCAGCUACUUCGACAGAGGAGCCAAGGGCGGCAGCCGCCUCUGCACACCGGAAGGCUGGUUCUCCUGCCAGGGUCCCUUUGACAUGGACAGCUGCUUAUCAAGACACUCCAUCAACCCCUACAGUAACAGGGAGAGCAGGAUCCUCUUCAGCACCUGGAACCUGGAUCACAUAGACGGAGUCUUGCUCUGUGGCCCAGGCUAAAGUGCGGUGGCAGGAUCAUGGCUCACUGAAGCCCUGAACUCCUGGCCUCAAGCGAUCCUCCUGCCUCAGCCUCCUGAGUCGCUGGGACUACAGAAUAGAAAAGAAACGCACCAUCAUUCCUACACUGGUGGAAGCAAUUAAGGAACAAGAUGGAAGAGAAGUGGACUGGGAGUAUUUUUAUGGCCUGCUUUUUACCUCAGAGAACCUAAAACUAGUGCACAUUGUCUGCCAUAAGAAAACCACCCACAAGCUCAACUGUGACCCAAGCAGAAUCUACAAACCCCAGACAAGGCUGAAGCGGAAGCGGCCUGUGCGGAAACGCCAGUGACACGUACACACCACGUUCUGGUCUUUGUUUGAGGCCUGACGUGGGCAUCAUUUUAACAGGUGCCUUUUUUGUUGUUUUGUUUUUCGUUUUUUUGGUCACUCCAGUAGCUCCUGGAAAAAACCUUAAAAUAUGUUUCCUCCAAAUCUGAUUUCAUUACAUUUAUGAAUUGUUGGUUUUUUUUGUUUUGUUUUGUUUUGUAGAUGGAGUUUCACUUUUGUUGCCCAGGCUGGAGUGUAGUGGCGCGAUCUCGGCUCAGCCUCCCGAGUAGCUGGGAUUACAGGCAUGUGCCACCACGCCCGGCUAAUGUUUGUAUUUUUAGUAGAGACGGGGGUUUCACCAUGUUGGUCAGGCUGGUCUCGAACUCCUGACCUCAGGUGAUCCGCCCACCUCAGCCUCCCAAAGUGCUGGGAUGACAGGUGUGAGCCACUGCGCCCAGCCUGAAUCAUUUCUUAUACCUUCUGACAGCCCAACUUCCAGAGGACAGCUCUGGGGUACUCAUUGGAUGUCUGUGAGUUCCUGGUCAUACGGGUCAGUAGGGAUAAGAAUUGUCUCUGGGCUGAGGAAUUCUUCUGUUCUCUGGUUUCACCAGCGUUAGGUUUGCUCAUGUAAUGUGGUCACCAUACUCGAAUGGUGUCAUGGCUGAAGUUGGCCACCUUGCUUGAGGGACAAGUUGUUUAUGCAUCAGCUCUCUGCUGGGUCUCCCUUUCCAUGGCAAAUGGGCAGCUCCAUCCUCUUGACUCUUCUAAAUGCCCAAAAGAGGUGUCAUGCUUUGGGGUUACGAUGUUUAUACUCCGUAAAGAACAUACAAGGAUAUUCACUGCUGAUUUUUGUUUGUUUGUUUGUUUGUUUGAGACAGGGUCUCACUCUGUCACUCAGGCUGGAGUGCAGUGAUGCAAUCUUGGCUCACUGCAACCUCCGCCUCUCAGGUUAAAGUGAUUCUCCUGCCUCAGCCUCCCAAGUAGCUGGGAUUACAGGCACCUACCACCACGGCCGGCUAAUUUUUGUAUGUUUAGUAGAAACGGGGUUUCACCAUGUUGGCCAGGCUGUUCUCGAACUCCUGACCUCAGGUGAUCUGCCCACCUCGGCCUCCCAAAGUGCUGGGAUUACAGGCAUGAGCCACUGCGCCUGACCUGCUGAAUUGUUUAUAAUGGCAAGAAAUAGGAAACCCCCCAAUGUCUGUGAGUAGAGCCACAGCUAUCAUGUUGAACCACAUGAAACUGCUGUUUUCUAGGCCAAAAAUGGUGAGCGAUCAUUUAUUUCAUGAUUCAACCUGAUACAUUUACAUAGUGCAAAACUGUGUCGCAGUUUCAGGCUUUUAGGAGGAAAGUGUUUCUGUGUAGAAACUGGAAGCUGUUCAGGGCAUCGGCAGCUGAACCCUGCUCCGUUGGUCAGUGUUACUAUCAUCUCAGAUCAUAUGGAGCUCAUGUCAGCCGUGUGGGUGGCGGGUGCACAGAGACGGUCUGGAAGGAAACACGCGGAUCUGAACAGCAGUAAUCCUGGGGGAUACGGGGGUUGGGCUGGAUUACAGAGGGCUCAUUUUCUACGUCAUGUAUUUUAUGAUACUUGAAUUUUUUGAAAUGGGCAUUUAUUUUAUAACAUGUUAAAAUGUACUUUUUAAAUUAAGUCAUUUUGUAAUAUUUGAAUUUUUACAUUUGUUGUACAAUCAGGAAAAGCAAUAAAGAUUUUUCAAAAAUAGA